GAAGGUGGCUAGCGUUGUUCGGUAUUACUGGGCUUAAAGCGUGUGUAGGCGGAAAGAUUAGCGUCUUGUGAAAGCCCCCGGCUUAACCGGGGAAUUGCUGGGCGUACUGUCUUUCUUGAGGCAAGUAGGGGUGCAUGGAACUCUUGGUGGAGCGGUGGAAUGCGUAGAUAUCAAGAGGAACGCCAGUGGUGAAGACGGUGCACUGGGCUUGUCCUGACGCUGAGACACGAAAGCGUGGGGAGCGAACGGGGGAUUAGAUACCCCGGUAGUCCACGCUGUAAACGAUGUCUACUAGGUUGUGGAGGUUCUGACACCUGCACAGCCGAAGCAAAAGUGUUAAGUAGACCGCCUGGGGAGUACGGUCGCAAGGCUA
rnacentral:rRNA from 1 species